rnacentral:rRNA from 1 species
CGGCGGACGGGUGAGUAACGCGUGGGUAACCUGCCUCAUACAGGGGGAUAACAGUUGGAAACGGCUGCUAAUACCGCAUAAGCGCACAGUACCGCAUGGUACGGUGUGAAAAACUCCGGUGGUAUGAGAUGGACCCGCGUCUGAUUAGGUAGUUGUUGGGGUAACGGCCUACCAAGCCGACGAUCAGUAGCCGACCUGAGAGGGUGACCGGCCACAUUGGGACUGAGACACGGCCCAA